rnacentral:rRNA from 1 species
UACGGUGGGUGCAAACGUUGCUCGGAAUUACUGGGCGUAAAGCGCACGUAGGCGGCUUUGUAAGUUAGAGGUGAAAGCCCAGGGCUUAACCCUGGAAUUGCCUUUAAGACUGCAUCGCUAGAAUCGUGGAGAGGUGAGUGGAAUUCCGAGUGUAGAGGUGAAAUUCGUAGAUAUUCGGAAGAACACCAGUGGCGAAGGCGACUCACUGGACACGUAUUGACGCUGAGGUGCGAAAGCGUGGGGAGCAAACAGG